AUCGAACGCUGGCGGCGUGCCUAACACAUGCAAGUCGAACGCGUGGCGGACGGGUGAGUAAUGUCUGGUAAACUGCCCGAUGGUGGGGGAUAACUACUGGAAAAGGUAGCUAAUACCGCAUACCAUCGGAUGUGCCCAGAUGGGAUUUGCUUGUAGGUGCGGUAACGGCUCACCUAGGCGACGAUCCCUAGCUGGGCUGAGAGGAUGAUCCGCCACACUGGAACUGAGACACGGUCCAAACUCCUACGGGAGGCAGCAGUGGGGAAUAUUGCACAAUGGGCGCAAGCCUGAUGCAGCCAUGCCGCGUGUGUGAAGAAGGUCUUCGGGUUGUAAAGUACUGUCAGCGGGGAGGCGUUACCCGCAGAAGAAGCACCGGCUAACUCCGUGCCAGCAGCCGCGGUAAUUC
rnacentral:rRNA from 1 species